CAGCAGCCGCGGGAAUACGGAAGGUCCGGGCGUUAUCCGGAUUUAUUGGGUUUAAAGGGAGCGUAGGCCGCCCCUUAAGCGUGUUGUGAAAUGCGGGUGCUCAACAUCCGACUUGCAGCGCGAACUGGGGGGCUUGAGUGCGCCGAAAGUAGGCGGAAUUCGUGGUGUAGCGGUGAAAUGCUUAGAUAUCACGAAGAACUCCGAUUGCGAAGGCAGCUUACUGUAGCGCAACUGACGCUGAUGCUCGAAAGCGUGGGUAUCGAACAGGAUUAGAUACCCCAGUAGUCCCUGUCUCUUAUAC
rnacentral:rRNA from 1 species